UGGGCUUGACAUACACCGUUCAUCCGUGGAAACACGGUGGGUUCGUCCGAGGUGUACAGGUGGUGCAUGGCCGUCGUCAGCUCGUGUCGUGAGAUGUUGGGUUAAGUCCCGCAACGAGCGCAACCCCUGUCCCUAGUUGCCAGCGCGUAAUGGCGGGGACUCUAGGGAGACUGCCGGUGUCAAACCGGAGGAAGGUGGGGAUGACGUAGACCUUGGACC
rnacentral:misc_RNA from 1 species